AUUGAACGCUGGCGGCAGGCCUAACACAUGCAAGUCGAACGAGUGGCGGACGGGUGAGUAAUGUCUGGGAAACUGCCUGAUGUAGGGGGAUAACUACUGGAAACGGUAGCUAAUACCGCAUACCAUCAGAUGUGCCCAGGUGGCAGUAGCUAGUUGGUGGGGUAACGGCUCACCAAGGCGACGAUCCCUAGCUGGUCUGAGAGGAUGACCGGCCACACUGGAACUGAGACACGGCCCAGACUCCUACGGGAGGCAGCAGUGGGGAAUCUUGCACAAUGGGCGAAAGCCUGACGGAGCAACGCCGCGUGUGUGAAGAAGGUCUUCGGGUUGUAAAGCACUGUUGUUGGGGAGGCGGUAUCUAACGAAGAAGCACCGGCUAACUACGUGCCAGCCGCCGCGGUAAUAC
rnacentral:rRNA from 1 species